AACGAAAAAGUCUGCCAGAGUUAGAUCUUCUUUCAUGAUCAAUUCUCCGAACAAGGGGUGGUCUACUGGGAAUCCUUUUUGGAAGGCUACACUAGCUAUUGAGUCAUCGCAUAAUCUUUACCUUCUCUGCUUUGAACCUCUUCACAUAGUCGCCAAGCAACUUCUUUGGAUUCUUCUUCACAUUGAACAAGUGAUUAGACUUCUUCUUUAUCGAUCGAUAUGAUGAAUACACUUUGGUGAAAACCAAAGAAAGCUCAUCAAAACUUCAGAUGGAUUGUGGUGGCAAGGAUUGGAACCAAUCUUGCGCCUCGCCUUGUAAAGUAGUGGCGAAUAUCCUGCACAUGAGAGCGUCGUUGUUCCGAUAAAGGACCAUUGUGCUUUGGUAGUGCUUCAAGUGUAUCUCUGGGUCUCCAUCUCCUUUAAAGGGUGUGAAAUGUGGCAUGCUGAACUUGCAUUGAGGCUCUGCCUACUCAAUCUCGUCUGUGAAGGGUAACCGACUUAUGUUGGUCAUGUCUCGUCGUAAUGCCUCAUCAGUGACCUCGUUGCGUUGGAAAUCAGGCAAUCGCUCGGUCAUGAGC
rnacentral:lncRNA from 1 species